AUUGAACGCUGGCGGCAGGCCUAACACAUGCAAGUCGAACGAGUGGCGGACGGGUGAGUAAUGUAUGGGGAACUGCCCGAUGGAGGGGGAUAACUACUGGAAACGGUAGCUAAUACCGCAUACUAUCGGAUGAACCCAGAUGGGAUUAGCUAGUAGGUGAGGUAAUGGCUCACCUAGGCGACGAUCCCUAGCUGGUCUGAGAGGAUGAUCAGCCACACUGGAACUGAGACACGGCCCAGACUCCUACGGGAGGCAGCAGUGGGGAAUAUUGCACAAUGGGCGCAAGCCUGAUGCAGCCAUGCCGCGUGUAUGAAGAAGGCCUUCGGGUUGUAAAGUACUUUCAGCGGGGAGGCGUUACCCACAGAAGAAGCACCGGCUAACUCCGUGCCAGCAGCCGCGGUAAUUC
rnacentral:rRNA from 1 species